UGACCUUCCUCUGAGAACUCUCAACUGGUAAGAGAAAAACACCUCAAGUGAGCAUGUGUACAAUUUUAGUAAACACACUGUGCAUACGGCCCCUCCCAAAUGCUGGCAGGCCACUGUGCAUGUGAACAGCCUGCCCCAAGGGAAAAUCAAGGGAGGAGAGAUGCAACCGCCAGGAAGCAUGACAACGUGUAAACAAGGUCAGAGGUCAAAGGUCAGACAGCCCACUUGGAUUCCUCAAGUCACCCGCUUGGUUCUCUUCCAAGUGUACUUUACUUCCUUUUGUUCCUGCUCUAAAACAUUUUUGUUUGUUUUUUAAGAGAUAGAUCUCGCUAUGUUGACCAUGCUGGUCUCUGGUCUCGUACUCCUGGCCUCAAGCGAUGGUCCCAUCUCAGCCUCCCAAAGUGCUGGGAUUACAGGGAUGAGCCACCACACCUGGCCUUCUGCUCUAAAACUUUUUAAUAAACUCACUCCUGCUCAAAAACUUGCCUCCAUCUCUCACUCAGCCUUAUGCCCCUUGGACAAAUUCUUUCCUUGAAAGAGGCUAAGAAUCUGUAGUUGCUGCAGACCCAUACAGAUUCGAGGCUGUUAACACUCUGUGACAAGUUGUUGCAGCAGCCAUAGGAAGCUAACCUGAGGACCAUUUCUUUCCUUGUCACGCUUAUAAUGGGCAAAGAAAAGGACCCACACUGGGCUCAACCACCUGCCACAUUCUGGACCCUGUGCUGGCUCCUCUACCUGCAUGACUCCAGCAGGUAAGAAAUGCUCUUCCCCUCUGAGCAGUAAGGAAACUGAAUCUCAGAUAGAGUAAGUGGCUUUUGUAAACUCACCCAGGUAGUAAGAGGGGGAGGUCUGUUCUGUGCCACAUGGGGCAAGGGGUGAGUUUAGCAAAGGGCCAGUGUGGGGCAGAACAAGAACAGGACUGGAGUGAGGAGACCUACGUCCUAGUCAUGGCUCCAUACCAACUUGCUGUGGGACUUCAGGCAAGCUACCACCCUCUCUGGGCCUCAGUUUCCCCAUCAUUAAAGUGAGAGAAUUGUACUAGGGUACUUUCAGUCCUGAUGAUCAGUGACUCUAAGGCAAUAUAUAUACAUAUUUAAACUCAACGGGGUGUUUAAGACUCCUGGCACAACAAAGAAGGAAGGAAACUCUGCCCUCUCUUACCCCUCCUCCGCUUCUCAGCCUUCAUGCCAGAUUUUUUUCGCCUGGGGGCCAAAUAGUUGGGAGGAGGCCCAACUGUGUCUGAGAUUGCUGAGGGAGAAGUAGGUUGAGUAGUUAGGGAGGACAUACAUUUUUAAGAAAUUAUCUUCUUGUUUUUGAGACAAGGUCUUGCUCUAUCACCCAGGCUGGAGUGUGGUGGCAUGAUCAUAGCUCACUGCAGCCUCAACUCCUAGGCUCAAGCAAUCUUGCUGCCUGAGCCUCCCAAGUAGCUGGAGUAGCUGGGAUGAUAGUGAACACCACUAUGUCUAGCUUUUUUUUUUUUUUUUUUUAACUUUAAAGUGGAGACAAAGUCUUGCUAUGUUGCCCAAGCUGGUCUGGAACUCCUCAACUCAAGCAGACAUACAAUUAGAUCCAGGAGAGAUGGUGCAGGGGAAGCAAAGACCCUGGGGAGACAUCCUUAAGGUUCCACCUUGGGUGGUUCUGGCUCUGUGGGGGUGACAGGCAGGCUCGUUUUCACUGGCAGAGUCGUGUACCCAGGAAAUGACCUGAUUCCUUUCUAAUACUUGCUCCACGGGGUCUGGUCAGUCUUCACAGCACCAGGCAGACAAAGGGCCUGGAAGUAGAGGCAGGAGGUCCCAGAUCUACCGACCUGCCAAGUCACAGCCUCUCUGGGCUGCUGGAGAAUCUGUAAGCAAGACCGAAUUGUAAAAGUAAAGCACAGCACAGCUUUGAGACCCAGAAGCCGUUGCUGUGAACUUACUGUUUUUGAGCUGCAUUCUGGAGAAUUGCAGCUCCAAGUUUAUUUUACCCAUUAUGUAUCAAAGAAGACCCCAUAUAGUUAAUGUUGCCAUCCGCCCUUGGACCCGGGUCUCAUGUUUAGACCCUGGCAUGGGCUGCUGCCUGGCAGUCGUCUCGUGCCCUGGGGGCUUGUUAGACUUGUGGGAGCUCCCAAUCCGUGUGCACACUGAUGUGUGACAGCUUGACUGUAGAGGGCCCAGCUGUGCCCUCCCCACAGGGCAGAGGGCCGACCCAGAGCCCACACUCUCUGGACCUCACUCCUGUACUCUCCACCCUGGGAUUUCCUGCUCAAAGGGACCAAGCCUGCUUCCAGGACCUGUAUUGGCCUCUUCCCCCAAGCCAUGGUGCCCCAACCCCAAGGGAUGGCCAAAGAGUGACUGGGGGAGUUGGCAAGGGGCUGUUGCGGGUGUGGGGUGGAGCUUGGACGUGAGGGCUUGAAGGUCCUUGCUUGUGUGCACGAGACUCCUCACAUUGCAGGAUGGAGUUGUGGGGAGGGUGGAAAGAGAAGAGUACAGACACUGUCGGCUACAAGCGUUCUCUUUUACUUGUCCUGGGUCCUAAAAUUGUCAGAGUGGCCUAUGCGAUUUUAUAAAAUAAUUUUUCUAGGUCUGUGGGAAUCUACAAUUCCACUGUUAAGGUGAGAGAGGGAUAAUUAGAAAGUUUUCUUAGAGGAGGGGCAUUGGAGCUGGGUUUUGACAGAUGCGUAGUAGUUCAGUAGUAGAAACAGAGGGAAUUAAAACUAUGUAAACAAAAAUAUGGCAGAAGGGAAGUGAGGUAUUUGUGGGAAAAGAUGUGCUUUUUGCUACAGUCUCCACAGUUUGGGAUCAGAUCACGAGGGUCUUGAAUUCCAGAUGGGGGGUUUGGUGGGAGGGAGCCCUCGAGGGUUAUGAGCAGGGAAGCUGCAAGGUAAGGACAGCACUUGAGGAGGAGUUGUCAGAUGGAGGCGUGGAGAGUAAGUUGGAGGAGAGGCUUCCAUGUGGAGACCAGUGUUUGACCUGAAUUGAAGCAGAAACAGUGGAAACUAGAAGCAGAAGUGGAUUCGAGAGACAUCUGGUAGAUGUCUGCUUGGCCUUGGUGAUCAAUUUGUUGGUGACAGAAUGGAGUGAGAAAAGAGAUGCUGUGGACAGAGGUGCCUUCACAGUGGUGGGAGAUGCUGAGGCUAAGGUGCCGAGAGGCACCAGCUGGGGAACUGUAGAGAGACCCAGCUGGAGAUAGACUUGCAA
rnacentral:lncRNA from 10 species